CAAUUGGGGUUUUAUGGUGAUUCAUAGUAACUGAACAAAUCACAUGGUCUUGCACCGGUGAUGUUCAUUCAAAUUCUGCCCUAUCAACUAGAUGGUAGUAUAUAGGACUACAUGGUGUAACGGUAACGGAGGAUUAGGGUUUGAUUCCGGAGAAGGAGCAUGAGAACGGCUACUAUUUCUAAGGAAAGCAGCAGGCGCGCAAAUUAUUCAAUGGAAACAAUUUUCCGAAAUAGUGACAAAAAAUAUCAAUGCUGGGUAUUAUAUACUUAGUAAUUGGAAUGAGUACAAUUUAAAUCCCUUAACAAGUAACAAUUAGAGGGCAAGUCUGGUGCCAGCAGCCGCGGUAAUUCCAGCUCUAAUAGCGUAUAUUAAUAUUGUUGCAGUUAAAAAAGCUCGUAGUUGAAAUUGGGACUUUAUUGUAUUGGUUUAU
rnacentral:rRNA from 1 species